ACCUACAGGCUUGAGUGAAGUGAAGAAUUAAGGCUAUUAUCUGUAUAAUUCAAACCCAAACCUACCUUUCUGUGAAUUUAUAGGACAAUUUAGGUCCUAGCUGAAUAAUUCAGAAAAAGAUAAUCACCUCAAUUAUUUAGAUGGCCAUCUCAUCCCCUUAUAUAUUCCAUCUCUCUAACUCUGAGGUGGAAAGUUGACAGCAAUUAAAUCUCUCAACCGCACUGCCCAUAGGAGGCCACUGAAUUUGGACCAAUGUGGUGCCCCAAACGGGAAGAGUGGAAACAGACCCAGAUAAGCCAAUGCAUAUGGAAGACAUUUGUCCUAAAUCAAGGUAAGAGGUGCUCACCCGUCUGACCAAGGUUCCAAACUAUAGACUCAAGAAAAGGCUUGGAAGUUAUCAUCCCAAGCCAGUUUGCUCUAGACCCUGUGAGCUUGUCACUGAUUGGGUACAGGAGGACUCAGCACCCUUCUCGGGCAGUGUCCCUCCUCGCCCAUCAAUUCUGGUCCUGCUGAGUUUGCAGAAGAACCUCAUUUCCUGGCCCUGUCCGAGUGGAGGGCAGGGCGUGGGAAGUUGUGCAUCUGAGACAGGUCAGCCAGCCGCAUGGGGAAUGGCACCACUUACAUUUACAUGGGGCUGAUGGAGAGCCUGUGAGAAGAUACCUGAUGAGGUCAGCAGGGCUCAAGAGGAAAGUGGUCCCUUUCCAGGAUGACUCUGGGACAAUGGGGAGGCCCUACUGGCUGGCCUGGCUUUGGCUGUUUCUGUCUGGGUGGCACCUCUAGGUCCCCGCAAGUCUCUGCAUGUUCGUGUGCACGUGGCUUUCUGUGUACAGACGCAGGGUGCCAGCCUGUCCAGGCUGGUGGGUUCAGCUUUCCUUUGUGCUAACAUUAAUCUGCCUGGCCCCAUCCCCCAGCCUCUCGCUGCACAUUAACCUAAAAUAUGAGCGCAUGCUCGGGUCUUGCCUGUGUUGGCCGCCCCCGAGCCCACAGCAUCCCUGCCCCCUCCUCCAGCCCUCUUAUCUAAAGCAGCGUGUCACUGCAAUUUUAUGGUCAACAUUACAGACUCAAGCCCUCCUUUGAACCAAUCAAACUGCACUGAAUAUGUUAAGGGAAUCCAGGCUUUCUGGAAGGAGCCUGCGUCCUGAGCCGCACUGCCUGACCUCUCUAAGAGCAGCCCCCAUAAAUCUGCCUCACGUGAUGGGAGAUGGGCUUUUCAGGAUCUCUCAGGGUGCUUUGAGGUAGCACUUCUAUGAACUCCUUGCCACAAUAAAUAAUGCUACCUGCAAUAUGUCUUUGCGAGUGUGUCAGCAGCUGCUGUCCUGCCAUGAAUUUUUAUUCUUGUGCCGUCUGGAAGAUAGAUUCCAGAUUCAGCAUUUCCCCGCACUUAGUGUCAGAUCUCUUUACCCCCUUGCCCCAGCAGAAUGACAGAGACCACAAAUAAAAUAAAAAAAAUUAAAAAAACAGCCUAGAAAAAAAUGGCCCAAGACCAGAGGGAAACAACCACGCUCACCUCACUACAGGAGAGAGAGCCUCCUGUGUGAUGGCAAUGACUAGGUGGGAGGAAGGAUGAAAAGCCAGGCAAUUCAGAGUCCUCAGAAAGUAAGCAAUUCACCUGGGCUGGCUGGAGAAAGGGGGUUUCUACCAGGUAAAGCUGUUGGAUGAGAGGAAAGCCCAUUUUGAGUCAAUAAACCAUUAUAAAGGAAAGCAAUAGAAAUCUGUUUUCAAACCUCAGUUAGAUAGUUAUUGCACUGGUCGGAUGCUAGGCAAUUGGUCCAUGAAACGAGGGCAAUGGAUUCCGAAAUAGCGUGGUGAUUGGUGAUGACAUCCAAGAUAAGUUGCUGUGGUCUGAGAGCUAAAGAGGAGGAAGGAAGCUACUACCAUAGCUUCAGAACAGCAAUAAGUGGAUUCCCAAAUUUCACAGACACGCGUGUCUCUGCCGAUCUAGACACAAGUGUCCGCACAGCUGGGUAUGUUUUACUAGUCGUCAUUGCUGCAACUUCAGAUCUUCUGAAGCUAAAACUCAGCACCGUGAUGCCAAGGCAUUUCCCCUUCUUUGAAAUGUUCCAAGUCCCAGGAAACUUCUGCAUGACUGAUGUGCCAGCCAUAUCCAUUACGGUGGGAGACAGCACAGGGAAGGAAGAAAGAAAAUAUGGCUUUGAUAUGUUAACAUCGCACAAAGGCAGAUUAUUUCAUUUUCCAUGCUGCUUCCUCUUCAGAGAGGGUCAGAUUCAGUCGGUGUCCUGGCAGGAAUCACACAGAUGAAGCUCCUGUGUAUACACAAUCCCAGUCUCAUAACUGAACCCACAAUGUCGGCCGACUUCCAGAUCAGCGUUUUGCCAAAUGUGAAGUGUGUACGCAUCACCUGGGGAUCUUAAAACACAGACUGUGGUCCAGCAAGUUUUGGGCUGGGGGCUGAGAGUCUGCAUUUCUAACAAGCUCCCAGGUGCUGCUGACACUGUUGGGCCAUCUAUCUGGGCCAACGAAGCUUCUGGGUUUAGCAGUGAUGAGCUUGCUAGGCUCCACACAAGGGAACCUCUUGGUUUAUGCAGAAUGUCAGCCUUAAUUGGUGGCCUCCUAGUGUCCUGCCCUGUGUCAAUGCCGCAUUAUCUCUAGCCUCCCAGGGCCAUGGGUCAGUUUCAUAGUAUGGUGGGUCCUGAGAGAAGGGUAUGGAGUUAGGUGGGGACUACAAGGAAAUCUCUGCUGAUCAAGUGGCCAACAACCAACUGGGAUGUGGGACCAUGGGCUCCCUUGACACACUCUGGUUCCUCUCUAAGACAACAAGGACAGCAAGAUUACAAAACUGCCAACCUAGAAUGGAGGAUGUGGUCAGCAACGUCCUUGCCAAAUGCACUUUUGAUGGAAAAUUAAAGUUUCUUGGGGUGAAUAUAGUCUUUGAAGUAAUAAGUAUGGAAGCUUCUCUGACAUCCCACCAUGCUCAAAUAAAGUGGCUGAGUGUAAGCAAUUCCUGCCUGUCAAAUCAUCUGAGGCCAAGCAUGAUCACUCAUUUGUAAACUGGGCUUUCUGCCUGCUGAAUACCUUUUAAAAACAGAAGCUCUCUCCUAAUUGCCUGGGUUGACCUAUAUUUAGAAACCUGAAGCAUGCUGGUGUCAUGGAGAAGCCAGAAAAACAUUGGAGUUAAUCACUAAAUCAAUCUGGGCUGACCCUGAGAGGAGCACCAAAGGUUGUUGGUCAAGGAGCUUUCGGAGGCUGGACUUAAAAGAACUCUCUUGUUUCUCUGAAACUUGGAAAAGCUGUUUCUUUCUGCAAAGACAUAUGCUCAGAAUAGAAUCUGGUCUGUUCUAGGACAGCCCUUUGAAUCUCAUGCCAGUAACCAGCUCAAGAGUAACUUCACUGGGUUUGGGGGUCCUCUCUGGGCUCCUCUCUGACCUCCAAGGUGGAGAUGGAAUCACUGGAACAGAUGGAAUCACUGGAACAAUAUGCUCAUGGCCAAGAGAAACAAGCCAUGAGAUCCUUUUCUUCCCUUCUCGUCUCGGCCAGCUCUCCUCCUCUUAGGGCAUCUUUCUGGUUUCUUAUUGUUCUGGUUUGUCAAAAUUCACAGUUUAGAUGGUUCCUUCAAUGAUUUUACUCCUAAUGCAGUGAUGAUCAUUUUUUAAAAGUUCACAGAAUUUGAAAAAAAUUGGGGACACGACAAGAAUUAUGACACAUUAUUUUUAGUUCACGUGAACAGUGAGGUGUCAUUUGGAUAUGGGUACAAGGUACGUAGAAAGUCAGUAAUUACCUCCAUGGAACACUGAACAGAAAAUUUAGGAAUCUCCUCGAUUCUGUAGAGCUGGUAUCCAUCCUCAAAUUUGCUGGCUCUUAUUUUUGCUAGAUGGUGGCUUGAUUUUGAUGCUGAAGGAUAUCAACACUGAAGGCAGGAGGGAGUAGAACCUAGGACCUUGAACCAUUUCCAGAUAAUUACUGAUCAUCUGAGUCCUGCAGAAAAUACUCGUUAGAUAGACGGGUGAUGGAAAAACAUGGUACAUUUUUUAAGAUUUAGGUUUGGAUAUCUAGCUAGUUAAUGCUAAGGUUAAAUUAAGAUAUCUGAAUGACAUACAAAUAUAUUUUUAAUUCUUGCAUCGAAUUUUGGAGAGCUAGAGAUGUUAAGUAACGUUGGAACAGAAUAAAUUAUACAUUUAUCAUCAGCUAUUUAUGGACUAUUUAAGACUCAUUUUUGAGGAGAUAAACAUGUAUAAGACAUCUUUACCUUCAGGAAAUUUAUAUUCUAAUUGUUGGAAUGAGACUAAGUCACUAAAACAAUUAGAAGUACAUACAUAUAUAAAUUAAGGGCCAAAGGAUAUGACAUGAUGUUAUGUGAUAUACAUAAUAAUAAGAGUUUGUGGAAGUAGGGUAUUUAUUUUUACUUAUUUAUUUAUAUAUUUAUUUUUGCCUUUUGUCUUUUUUUUUUUUUUUUUUUUUUUUNAUAUGGAGGUUCCCAGGCUAGGGGUCUGAUCAGAGCUAUUGUUGCCGGCCUAUGCUACAGCCACAGCAAUGCCAGAUCUGAGCCAUGUCUUCAACCUACAACACAGCUCAUGGCAAUGCUGGAUCCUUAACCCACUGAGCGAGGCCAGGUAUUGAGCCGCCAACCUCACAGUUCCUAGUUGGAUUCGUUUCCACUGCACCGCAAUGGGAACUCCGAGAAGUAGGAUAUUGAUGAGAGACUUAGAACCAUAGAAAGGCUCUUGAUGGUAGCAUUUGUGUAGGGAACAGGACAGACAUUCCAAGGAACUGAAACGAUACAGAGAAGCCAUGAAGUUCAGCAGAUGCUCAGGGGUAGCAGCAAGACUUGGCCUCGCAGCAGAAGGGGCCUGUCAGGGGACUGUAGGAAUCAAGUUGGAUGGUCUGGGAAGGGACAGGUUAGAAGGAUGUUCACACUUGAUUAUGGAAAUGAAGACACCGAAAGUUAUUUUUAAACAGAGGAGUCCUAUAAUGGGAACAGAUUUUGGCCAACCAGGGAAGGUGCCCUAAACUCUCAAACAUGUGGUCACAGGAAGCUGGGAAAUAACACAGCCUUGGAGAAGAGGAAGCUAGGCUGAUUCAACUUGAUCCAUUAAGAAAACAGUACUUCAUAGAGGGCCAAGAUGAUUGCAACUGUCUCCUGGCCCUGAUCCCCUUCAAUGGGUCUCUGAUCUAUAAGGAUCCGGAAAGUUGU
rnacentral:lncRNA from 1 species